rnacentral:rRNA from 1 species
AGUGAACGCUGGCGGCGUGCCUAAUACAUGCAAGUCGAACGGAGUGGCGCACGGGUGAGUAAUGUAUAGCUAAUCUGCCCUACACUAGAGGACAACAGUUGGAAACGACUGCUAAUACUCUAUAGUGUAGGAUGAGGCUAUAUUGUAUCAGCUAGUUGGUGAGGUAAUGGCUCACCACGGCUAUGACGCAUAACUGGUCUGAGCGGAUGAUCAGUCACACUGUAACGAAGACAGAGUGAAGGCUCCUACAGGAGGCAGCAGUAGGGAAGAGUGCUCAUGGGGGGAAACGCUGAAGCAGCAACGCCGCGUGGAGGAUGACACUUUUCGGAGCGUAAACUCCUUAUGUUAGGGAAGCGGUACCUAACGAAUAAGCACCGGCUAACUCCGUGCCAGCAGCCGCGGUAAUUC